GACGAACGCUGGCGGCGUGCUUAACACAUGCAAGUCGAACGGAAAGGCCCUGCUUGCAGGGUGCUCGAGUGGCGAACGGGUGAGUAACACGUGGGUGAUCUGCCCCUUACUUUGGGAUAAGCCUGGGAAACUGGGUCUAAUACUGGAUAGGACCAUGCUGUAGGUGGUGUGGUGGAAAGAUUAGUUUCGGUAAGGGAUGAGCUCGCGGCCUAUCAGCUUGUUGGUGGGGUAAUGGCCUACCAAGGCGUCGACGGGUAGCCGGCCUGAGAGGGUGGACGGCCACAUUGGGACUGAGAUACGGCCCAGACUCCUACGGGAGGCAGCAGUGGGGAAUAUUGCACAAUGGGCGUAAGCCUGAUGCAGCGACGCCGCGUGGGGGAUGACGGCCUUCGGGUUGUAAACUCCUUUCAGCCAUGACGAAGCCCUUGUGGUGACGGUAGUGGUAGAAGAAGCACCGGCUAACUACGUG
rnacentral:rRNA from 1 species